rnacentral:rRNA from 1 species
ACGGGAGGCAGCAGUGGGGAAUAUUGGGCAAUGGGCGAAAGCCUGACCCAGCGACGCCGCGUGAGGGAAGAAGGUCUUCGGAUUGUAAACCUCUUUCAGCAGGGAAGAAGCAAGUGACGGUACCUGCAGAAGAAGUCACGGCUAACUACGUGCCAGCAGCCGCGGUAAUACGUAGGUGGCGAGCGUUAUCCGGAAUUACUGGGUGUAAAGGGUGUGUAGGCGGAGAAGCAAGUCAGGCGUGAAAUACACGGGCUCAACCCGUGAACUGCGCUUGAAACUGUUUCCCUUGAGAGUGGGAGAGGUAAACGGAAUUCCUGGUGUAGCGGUGAAAUGCGUAGAUAUUAGGAGGAACACCAGUGGCGAAGGCGGCUUACUGGACUGUAACUGACACUGAGGCUCGAAAGCGUGGGGAGCAAACAGGAUUAGAUACCCUGGUA